GACGAACGCUGGCGGCGCGCUUAAUACAUGCAAGUCGAGCGGGAACCUCGGGCUUCGGCCUGGGGGGAGAGCGGCGAACGGGUGCGUAACACGUGAGAAACCUGCCUCGGAGUCCGGGAUAACCCAGGGAAACUUGGGCUAAUACCGGAUGCCCUCACCGGAUCGCAUGGUCGGGUGAGGAAAGUUCCGGCGCUUCGAGAUGGUCUCGCGGCCUAUCAGCUUGUUGGCGGGGUAACGGCCCACCAAGGCGACGACGGGUAGCUGGUCUGAGAGGACGAUCAGCCACACUGGGACUGAGACACGGCCCAGACUCCUACGGGAGGCAGCAGUAGGGAAUCUUGCUCAAUGGGCGAAAGCCUGAAGCGGCGACGCCGCGUGCGGGACGAAGGCCCUCGGGUCGUAAACCGCUUUCAGCAGGAACGAAAUUGACGGUACCUGCUGAAGAAGCCCCGGCCAACUACGUGCCAGCAGCCGCCGUAAAAC
rnacentral:rRNA from 1 species